rnacentral:rRNA from 1 species
CCUACGGGAGGCUGCAGUGGGGAAUAUUGGGCAAUGGGCGCAAGCCUGACCCAGCAACGCCGCGUGAAGGAAGAAGGCUUUCGGGUUGUAAACUUCUUUUUAGAGGGAAGAGCAGAAGACGGUACCUCUUGAAUAAGCCACGGCUAACUACGUGCCAGCAGCCGCGGUAAUACGUAGGUGGCAAGCGUUGUCCGGAUUUACUGGGUGUAAAGGGCGUGCAGCCGGGAAGACAAGUCAGAUGUGAAAUCCCGCGGCUCAACCGCGGAACUGCAUUUGAUACUGUUUUUCUUGAGUACCGGAGAGGUAAUCGGAAUUCCUUGUGUAGCGGUGAAAUGCGUAGAUAUAAGGAAGAACACCAGUGGCGAAGGCAGAUGACUAGACGGCAACUGACGGUGAGGCGCGAAAGCGUGGGGAGCAAACAGGAUUAGAUACCCGAGUAGUC